rnacentral:rRNA from 1 species
UACGUAGGGUGCGAGCGUUAAUCGGAAUUACUGGGCGUAAAGCGUGCGCAGGCGGUCUGUUAAGACCGAUGUGAAAUCCCCGGGCUUAACCUGGGAACUGCAUUGGUGACUGGCAGGCUUUGAGUGUGGCAGAGGGAGGUAGAAUUCCACGUGUAGCAGUGAAAUGCGUAGAGAUGUGGAGGAACACCGAUGGCGAAGGCAGCCUCCUGGGCCAGCACUGACGCUCAUGCACGAAAGCGUGGGGAGCAAACAG